GCGAUCAUACCAGUACUAAUGCACCGGAUCCCAUCAGAACUCCGCAAUUAAGCGUGCUUGGGCGAGAGUAGUACUAGGAUGGGUGACCUCCUGGGAAGUCCUCGUGUUGCACACC
rnacentral:rRNA from 1 species